UCAUGAUAAUUUUAAUAGCCGCGGUAUAUUGACCGUGCAAAGGUAGCAUAAUAAUUAGUCUUUUAAUUGAGGUCUAGAAUGAAUGGUUAAACGAAAAAUUAACUUUAUUUUUUUUAUUAAGUUGAAUUUUAAGUUUCAGUAAAAAUUCUGAAAUUAAUAAGAGGGACGAUAAGACCCUAUAGACCUUAAUUAUAUAAAUUAUUUUAUUUGUUUUGUUUAUUUUUUUUAAUAUGAUUUUUAUUUUUUAGUUGGGGUGACUACUAAAAAUUUAAACUUUAGUUUUUUAUUACAAUUUAUUUGGUUAAUUGAUCUUUUUUUUUU
rnacentral:rRNA from 1 species